rnacentral:rRNA from 1 species
GAUGAACGCUGGCGGCGUGCUUAACACAUGCAAGUCGAACGAAGCACCUCUCCCGAAGAUUGACACAGCUUGCUGUAGAUUGAUUCAUUUGAGGUGACUGAGUGGCGGACGGGUGAGUAACGCGUGGGUAACCUGCCUCAUAGAGGGGGACAACAGUUGGAAACGACUGCUAAUACCGCAUAGUAAGAAGAAUUCGCAUGUUUUCUUCUUGAAAGAUUUAUCGUUAUGAGAUGGACCCGCGUCUGAUUAGCUAGUUGGUAAGGUAACGGCUUACCAAGGCGACGAUCAGUAGCCGGCUUGAGAGAGUGAACGGCCACAUUGGGACUGAGACACGGCCCAAACUCCUACGGGAAGCAGCAGUGGGGAAUAUUGCACAAUGGGGGAAACCCUGAUGCAGCGACGCCGCGUGAGUGAAGAAGUAUUUCGGUAUGUAAAGCUCUAUCAGCAGGGAAGAUAAUGACGGUACCUGACUAAGAAGCCCCGGCUAACUACGUG